AGAGUUUGAUCAUGGCUCAGGACGAACGCUGGCGGCGUGCCUAACACAUGCAAGUCGAACGGGACCGGGGGCAACUUCGGUUCAGUGGCGGACGGGUGCGUAACACGUGAGGAACAUGACCUUCGGCGGGGGAUAGCCGGCCCAACGGCCGGGUAAUACCGCGUACGACCUUUCGGGGACAUCCCUGGAUGGUGAAAGCAGCAAUGCGCCGAUGGAGUGCCUCGCGGCCUAUCAGCUAGUUGGUGGGGUAACGGCCUACCAAGGCGACGACGGGUAGCUGGUCUGAGAGGAUGGCCAGCCACAUUGGGACUGAGACACGGCCCAGACUCCUACGGGAGGCAGCAGUGGGGAAUAUUGCGCAAUGGACGAAAGUCUGACGCAGCGACGCCGCGUGUGGGAUGACGGUCUUCGGAUUGUAAACCACUGUCGGGAGGGACGAAUACGCCGCAAGGCGGGUGACGGUACCUCCAAAGGAAGCACCGGCUAACUCCGUGCCAGCAGCCGCGGUAAUACGGAGGGUGCGAGCGUUGUCCGGAAUCACUGGGCGUAAAGGGCGCGUAGGCGGCCUGAUAAGUAGGGGGUGAAAUCCUGCGGCUUAACCGCAGGGCUGCCUUCUAAACUGUCAGGCUCGAGCACAGUAGAGGCAGGUGGAAUUCCCGGUGUAGCGGUGGAAUGCGUAGAGAUCGGGAAGAACAUCAGUGGCGAAGGCGGCCUGCUGGGCUGUUGCUGACGCUGAGGCGCGACAGCGUGGGGAGCAAACAGGAUUAGAUACCCUCGUAGUCC
rnacentral:rRNA from 1 species